AGUGCAAGUGUUCGAAAGCACAAAGGCAGACUGUCUACCCGCGACAGUUCGCAAGUUGCGGUGGCGGGGCGGCUGUGCGGAGCGCGCGUGCAGACUUUUUGUAGAAACUCUGCAGGUCAGAAGAUUUUUGUAUGGAAUGAUCUUCUCCAAUCAAUUAUUUGAAUCUAAGAGGAAGAGAAGAUCAUCAGUGGCAAAUGGCAGUC
rnacentral:lncRNA from 1 species